UACGUAGGGUGCGAGCGUUAAUCGGAAUUACUGGGCGUAAAGCGUGCGCAGGCGGUGAUGUAAGUCCGAUGUGAAAUCCCCGGGCUUAACCUGGGAACUGCAUUGGUGACUGCAUUGCUGGAGUAUGGCAGAGGGGGGUGGAAUUCCACGUGUAGCAGUGAAAUGCGUAGAGAUGUGGAGGAACACCGAUGGCGAAGGCAGCCCCCUGGGCCAAUACUGACGCUCAUGCACGAAAGCGUGGGGAGCAAACAGG
rnacentral:rRNA from 1 species